GCCGCGGCGAUAGGUCAGUGGGUAAAGCGCAAGGUGAGAAGAUGGCGAUUACUCCGAAUUAUCCGCGCGGGUUCGAAUCCCGCCUGUGGCA
rnacentral:tRNA from 1 species